UACGUAGGGUCCGAGCGUUGUCCGGAAUUAUUGGGCGUAAAGAGCUCGUAGGCGGUCUGUUGCGUCGGUUGUGAAAACCUGGGGCUCAACUCCAGGCCUGCAAUCGAUACGGGCAGACUAGAGUUCGGUAGGGGAGACUGGAAUUCCUGGUGUAGCGGUGAAAUGCGCAGAUAUCAGGAGGAACACCGGUGGCGAAGGCGGGUCUCUGGGCCGGAAACUGACGCGUGAGGAGCGAAAGCGUGGGGAGCGAACAGG
rnacentral:rRNA from 1 species